AGAGGGUGCAAGCGUUAAUCGGAAUGACUGGGCGUAAAGGGCGUGUAGGUGGAUGUUUAAGUUAGAUGUGAAAUCCCUGGGCUUAACCUAGGAACGCCAUCUAAUACUGGGCAACUAGAGUAUAGGAGAGGGAAGUGGAAUUUCCGGUGUAGCGGUGAAAUGCGUAGAUAUCGGAAGGAACACCAGUGGCGAAGGCGGCUUCCUGGCCUAAUACUGACACUGAGGCGCGAAAGCGUGGGUAGCGAACAGGGAUUAGAUACCCUGGUAGUCCACGCUGUAAACGAUGAGUACUAGACGUUGGUGAUGUAGUGUCAUUGGUGUCGAAGCAAACGCGUUAAGUACUCCGCCUGGGGAUUACGGUCGCAAGAUUA
rnacentral:rRNA from 1 species